CGUGGAGUGGAUCAGCGGUGGAUCACCCGGCUGUUAUCCGGGAGGGCGCGGGUUCGAAUCCCGCCUCCACGG
rnacentral:tRNA from 3 species